CGGGAUGGCCUGAACAAUACCCGAUCCGAAUCGCCCGAUUCUGGAUUGGGUCGACGAUUUUUUAAACAUUGAUCCAAAUGCCACCAUAGGAACUGCACUGUAUGCCACUAGUGCACACCAGGCGAGCAAUCUACCCAACAAAUAAUCCAUGCUGAUAUGGGUCUUAAUAUUUCUCUGACACCCUUACAGUACCCAAACAGAAGAAUCCAUGUAACCUAGAUUGAAGUUAUCAAACCAUCAAUUACAUUGAUUCCAAAAAGCUCAUGUUAAGCACUUUUAUGUGAAUUAUUUUUUACCACCCUAUCUAUUGUAUCAAGAUAUGGGUUUGAUAUAAAUCAAUCCACAUGCAACUGAGAUUAUAAUGCAACAUGUAUGCAAAGAAAAAAGGAAACUAUUAUUCAGUUCCUCUUUAUGGAAGAAGAGUUAAAGAAAGGGGGAAUGUAACUAAAAGAGAUUUAAUAAGAGCCGAUAUGUGACAGAUUUUAUUUAAGAGUAUAGAAGAGAAAUUGAUUGUUGAAAUUUAAAUCACUUACAUAGUUGGAUAUCUAGGAGAGAGAGAGGGAGGGGGACGAGAGAGAUGGGAGAAUUUUUGGGAAGAAAAGAAAGAAAUUUAUUAUUUUUUUAUUCGAAGAAGAUAUAUCAAGGGAGGAACUCAUGAGGGUAAUUCAAAUUUUUGUUCGUUUCCUUGUAAAGAAUUAAUGGUUGCUAUUAAAUACAAUUGCAAACAAUACAGGGUGGUCUCCACCAACUAAGAAACACAUAUGGUAAUUGAAGAGCACUAGGAAUUUCCUUUAAGAUUUGUUUUUCCUUUAAAUAGUUGAUGUCCAUAGAGCUAAUUAUCCAGCUCCUUCAAACACCACGUGUAGUGUCCAUCUAGACCACACUAUACCAUCUAUAUGGGAAUCAUGCAGGAAUAAUAGAGGGCUGAGGCUGUCAUUAGUGCCUGAAAAUUGUGGAUAACAAGUGGAUUAAAUGGUAGUAGUUACUAUAGAGUCCUUUAGGGAAAAAAAAUAGUUGAUUUCCAUGGAGCUAAUUAUUAAAUUCUUUCAAGCACAAGGUUAACAGUCCAGCUCCACCACAUUAAUCUAUGCUAUG
rnacentral:lncRNA from 1 species